rnacentral:rRNA from 1 species
GGAGGGUGCAAGCGUUGUUCGGAAUUAUUGGGCGUAAAGCGCGUGUAGGCGGUUUGUUAAGUCUGGUGUGAAAGCCCUGGGCUCAACCUGGGAAGUGCAUUGGAUACUGGCAAACUUGAGUACGGGAGAGGAUAGUGGAAUUUCGAGUGUAAGGGUGAAAUCCGUAAAUAUUCGAAGGAACACCGGUGGCGAAGGCGGCUAUCUGGACCGAUACUGACGCUGAGACGCGAAAGCGUGGGGAGCAAACAGGAUUAGAUACCCUGGUAGUCCACGCCGUAAACGAUGGGCACUAGGUGUUGCGGGUAUUGACCCCUGCAGUGCCGAAGCUAACGCAUUAAGUGCCCCGCCUGGGGAGUACGGUCGCAAGACU